rnacentral:lncRNA from 1 species
AUCAACAGAAAAAAAAUGAUAAAUCUUUUAAAAUCAGUGUGCAAAUCUGAGACGCUACAGCUGGCGUAACUGAACACCAAAAUUGCAAAAUUUAUUAAAAAAAAUUGGUGCAUGCGUUUUGAGUGAUUCCAAAGCCAGAUUUUAGCUAAGAUCUUGAAUAUCUUGCAUAUCAAAUUUCAGAAUCAUAUCUUAAAAAAACAGCUCAGCAUAAAUUGGGGAAAAACACGUUUCUGGCCCACAACAUUUUCCAGUGGUGCUGUUUUUUUUUUUAUUUGGUC